rnacentral:rRNA from 1 species
CGGUUAAACUAGAGGAUUUAGUUAUAUUUUUUAGGUAAAAAGGUGGUUAAACUUGAAGUUUGUAUGUAGCUAUAUGAACUACUGUAGAGGGGUGUAAUUCUUAUAUGGAUUAUAGGUAACUCAGAGAUGGCUAAUAUGUUGAAUCCACUAUAGCUUUGGGGGAAACUGGGAUUUGGUACCCCAUUAUUCUUAGCUGUAAAUAGGUGUUGAACUUACCGGAGUACUACGAAUAAUUAGUUUGAAACUCAAAGGGCUUGGCGGUGUUUUAGACCUUUUAGGGGAACCUGUUUCAUAAUCGAUGAUCCACGUUAUACCUUACCCUUUAUUGCUAUCAGCUUGUACACCGUUGUCAUCAGGUAACUUUUUAGAGUAGCAAAGUUAGCGAUAGAACUUGUCAUCAGUUUUUAUGUCAAAUCAAGGUGCAGCUAAUGAAAGGGGGAGGAUGGGUUACAAUUAAGAUUUAUAAGAUGGAUCAGGCAAUGAAAUUUGCUUGUGAAGGAGGACUUAAAAGUAAGGGUAUCUAUAAAAAUGUCCUGAAUGCGGCUCUGAAAUGUGUACAAAUUGCCC